UACGUAGGGUGCAAGCGUUAAUCGGAAUUACUGGGCGUAAAGCGUGCGCAGGCGGUUUUGUAAGUUUGUCGUGAAAUCCCCGGGCUCAACCUGGGAAUGGCGAUGAAGACUGCAAGGCUAGAAUCUGGCAGAGGGGGGUAGAAUUCCACGUGUAGCAGUGAAAUGCGUAGAGAUGUGGAGGAACACCGAUGGCGAAGGCAGCCCCCUGGGUCGAGAUUGACGCUCAUGCACGAAAGCGUGGGGAGCAAACAGG
rnacentral:rRNA from 1 species